UACGAAGGGGGCUAGCGUUGCUCGGAAUCACUGGGCGUAAAGGGUGCGUAGGCGGGUCUUUAAGUCAGGGGUGAAAUCCUGGAGCUCAACUCCAGAACUGCCUUUGAUACUGAAGAUCUUGAGUUCGGGAGAGGUGAGUGGAACUGCGAGUGUAGAGGUGAAAUUCGUAGAUAUUCGCAAGAACACCAGUGGCGAAGGCGGCUCACUGGCCCGGUACUGACGCUCAGGUGCGAAAGCGUGGGGAG
rnacentral:rRNA from 1 species